rnacentral:tRNA from 1 species
GCUAACGUAGCUUAAUUUAAAGUAUGGCACUGAAGAUGCUAAGAUGAAAAAUCAUAUUUUUCCGCAGGCA